rnacentral:lncRNA from 1 species
AUGAGUGGUAAUACUUCUUCUGGUUGUUGCCUAGCUUCAGAGGUUAGUUUCCUCGACUAUUUAUGUGUCUCUCCAUCGUCGACGAGUUAGAGAUAUUGUGAUUGUUGUUUGGAAACCGCCAUUUCCCCCUUGGUUUAAGGCCAAUACGGACGACUCGGUGAUUGGUUUGAAUGCUGCUUGCGGGGGUAUUUUUAGGGAGCUUUUCUUGGGGCUUUUUCUUGC